AUACGUAGGGAGCGAGCGUUGUCCGGAAUUACUGGGUGUAAAGGGUGCGUAGGCGGGACUGCAAGUCAGAUGUGAAAUGCCGGGGCUCAACCCCGGAGCUGCAUUUGAAACUGUGAUUCUUGAGUGAGGUAGAGGUAAGCGGAAUUCCUAGUGUAGCGGUGAAAUGCGUAGAUAUUAGGAGGAACAUCGGUGGCGAAGGCGGCUUACUGGGCCUUUACUGACGCUGAGGCACGAAAGCGUGGGGAGCAAACAGGAUUAGAUACCCUGGUAGUCCACGCUGUAAACGAUGAUGACUAGGUGUGGGGGGACUGAACCCUUCCGUGCCGCAGUUAACACAAUAAGUCAUCCACCUGGGGAGUACGGCCGCAAGGUUGAAACUCAAAUGAAUUGGCGGGG
rnacentral:rRNA from 1 species